rnacentral:rRNA from 1 species
CACGAAAGUUCUUCUGUUUUAAAAAAACACUCAAGGAAAUUGAAUUUGUAGUGAAGAUGCUACAUUAAAGUUGUUAGACGAGAAGUCCCCAUGGAGCUUUACUGAAAGCCUAAAAGGAAUUUUGUUAUUUAUUUAUAGGCUAGACAGUUUUGUUGGGGUGAUAGUUUUUUAAAAAGUAACGAAAACGAACUAUGACGCAUGUUUCACUCUGAAAACUUGAAGAGACAUUUGGGGUGUGUUUUAUGAUCUAUUGUUUUGAAUGAAAAAGAUAAUGAAAGCA